UACGUAGGUGGCAAGCGUUGUCCGGAAUUAUCGGGCGUAAAGCGCGCGCAGGCGGUCCUUUAAGUCUGAUGUGAAAGCCCACGGCUCAACCGUGGAGGGUCAUUGGAAACUGGGGGACUUGAGUGCAGAAGAGGAAAGCGGAAUUCCAACGUGUAGCGGUGAAAUGCGUAGAGAUGUGGAGGAACACCAGUGGCGAAGGCGGCUUUCUGGUCUGUAAACUGACGCUGAGGCGCGAAAGCGUGGGGAGCAAACAGG
rnacentral:rRNA from 1 species